rnacentral:rRNA from 1 species
UGUCUCCUAAAUAGAGACCCGUAUGAAUGGCUAAAUGAAGGUUCAACUGUCUCCUUUAAUUAAUUAGUGAAACUGAUUUUCCAGUACAAAAGCUGGAAUAAAACUAUAAGACGAGAAGACCCUGUGGAGCUUUAAAUUUUAAACAAGAUAGCUCUUAACCUAUUCAAAUGACCAAAAACUUUAAGUUGGGACGACUUCGGAUAAAAAUUAAACAUCCAAGAACUAAAGCAACGACUAAACAAGGCCCACCAGCCAAAACUCAACAAGACCCAGUACAACUGAUCAACGAACCAAGUUACCCCAGGGAUAACAGCGCCAUCUUCUUCAAGAGUUCAUAUCGACAAGAAGGUUUACGACCUCGAUGUUGGAUCAGGACACCCAAAUGGUGCAGCCGCUAUUAAAGGUUCGUUUGUUCAACGAUUAAUAGU